GGGAGUGUCGUCCAAUGGCAGGACUCUGGUCUCCAAAACCAGGUAUCCAAGUUCGAAUCUUGGCAUUCCCGCAA
rnacentral:tRNA from 1 species